rnacentral:rRNA from 1 species
UACGUAGGGUGCAAGCGUUGUCCGGAAUUAUUGGGCGUAAAGAGCUCGUAGGCGGUUUGUCGCGUCGGCUGUGAAAACCCGAGGCUCAACCUCGGGCCUGCAGUCGAUACGGGCAAACUAGAGUGCGGUAGGGGAGACUGGAAUUCCUGGUGUAGCGGUGAAAUGCGCAGAUAUCAGGAGGAACACCGGUGGCGAAGGCGGGUCUCUGGGCCGUAACUGACGCUGAGGAGCGAAAGCGUGGGGAGCGAACAGG